UACGAAGGGUGCAAGCGUUACUCGGAAUUACUGGGCGUAAAGCGUGCGUAGGUGGUUCGUUAAGUCUGCCGUGAAAGCCCCGGGCUCAACCUGGGAAUGGCGGUGGAUACUGGCGGACUAGAGUGCGGUAGAGGGUGGUGGAAUUCCCGGUGUAGCAGUGAAAUGCGUAGAGAUCGGGAGGAACAUCUGUGGCGAAGGCGGCCACCUGGACCAGCACUGACACUGAGGCACGAAAGCGUGGGGAGCAAACAGGAUUAGAAACCCCCGUAGUCC
rnacentral:rRNA from 1 species